UACGGAGGGUGCAAGCGUUGUUCGGAAUUACUGGGCGUAAAGGGCUCGUAGGCGGCCAACUAAGUCAUACGUGAAAUCCCUCAGCUUAACUGGGGAACUGCGUGUGAUACUGGAUGGCUUGGAUUUGGGAGAGGGAUGCGGAAUUCCAGGUGUAGCGGUGAAAUGCGUAGAUAUCUGGAGGAACACCGGUGGCGAAGGCGGCAUCCUGGACCAAUAUUGACGCUGAGGAGCGAAAGCUAGGGGAGCAAACGGG
rnacentral:rRNA from 1 species